AGGCAGCUGGACAGCCGCGGUCCGCUUAGGGCGGGACGAGGAAAGUCCGAGCUCCAUAGGGCAGGGUGCUGGGUAACCCCCAGUGGAGGCGACUCCAAGGAAAGUGCAACAGAGAUAUACCGCCCGUUUUGUAGCGGGUAAGGGUGGAAAGGCGAGGUAAGAGCUCACCAGCGGACGGGGUGACCUGCCCGCUCUGUAAACCCCACCUGGAGCAAGAUUGAUGGAAGAGCGCGGCGGCCCGCCGCAUUUCCAGAUAAUCGCUUGAGCCUGCGGGCAACCACAGGCCUAGAUAGAUGGCUGUUCACGACAGAACUCGGCUUACAGGCUGC
rnacentral:RNase_P_RNA from 1 species